rnacentral:rRNA from 1 species
UACGUAGGUGGCAAGCGUUGUCCGGAUUUAUUGGGCGUAAAGCGAGCGCAGGCGGUUCCUGAAGUCUGAUGUGAAAGCCCCCGGCUCAACCGGGGAGGGUCAUUGGAAACUGGGGAACUUGAGUGCAGAAGAGGGAAGUGGAAUUCCAUGUGUAGCGGUGAAAUGCGUAGAUAUAUGGAGGAACACCAGUGGCGAAGGCGACUCUCUGGUCUGUAACUGACGCUGAGGCUCGAAAGCGUGGGGAGCAAACGGG